rnacentral:rRNA from 1 species
UACGUAGGCAGCAAGCGUUGUUCGGAAUUACUGGGCGUAAAGAGUGUGUAGGCGGUGUUCUAAGUCUGUUGUGAAAUCUCCCGGCUUAACUGGGAGGGUGCGGCGGAAACUGGAAUGCUAGAGGAUGGGAGAGGUAAGCGGAAUUCCUAGUGUAGCGGUGAAAUGCGUAGAUAUUAGGAGGAACACCAGUUGCGAAGGCGGCUCUCUGGACUGUAACUGACGCUGAGGCACGAAAGCGUGGGGAGCAAACAGG